UACAGAGGUCCCAAGCGUUGUUCGGAAUCACUGGGCGUAAAGGGUGCGUAGGCGGCGCGGAAAGUCAGGGGUGAAAGCCCGGAGCUCAACUCCGGAACUGCCAUUGAAACUGUUGAACUUGAGGACGAGAGAGGUGAGUGGAAUUCCCAGUGUAGAGGUGAAAUUCGAUAGAUAUUGGGAGAACACCGGUGGCGAAGGCGGCUCACUGGCUCGUAUCUGACGCUCAGGCGCGAUAGCGUGGGGAUCAAACAGG
rnacentral:rRNA from 1 species